AACUGGUUAAAACUAGCAUUUACAUCAGCUAGAACUAUCAAAAUAGAUGCAUCAAUUUCUCCACUGGCUACUCCCAAACAAUUUGAACAAUUCAUUCAGGCAGCAAGUGUUUCCACCAAUAAAAUAAAAAGAAUUGAUUUCAUCCAGAAGAACUGUUUGAACUGUGGAC